CUGCCUGCUGAAUCUGAAGGAGCAAUGCCAGCUGUCACCAUACAUCAGACAUCAUAACGUCGUUUGAAGGACAAACUGGUGGAUCAACUGAGAUGGAGGGGGAGAAGAGCCAGUAUGCACGGUUGAUGGAGUCUCUCUGGAGACAACUGACUGCUGAGGAGCUCCAGGUCAUCGGUGAGCAUCAACUACAGGAUCAUGAAGGGAUGGACACUGCAGAGGAGGAGUACCUAGAUAGCCAGCUACUGAGUGAAGAGGAUGUGGAAGAAGAGGAGAGUGAUCUCCCAUCAUCCUCAGCUGGAUGGAGGGGGAGAAGAGCCCGUAUGCAUGGUUGAUGGAGUCUCUCAGGGAAAGGAGACAACUGACCGUUGAGGAGCUCCAGGUCAUCGGUGAGCAUCAACUACAGAAUCAUGCAGGGAUGGACAUGGAGGAGUACCUGGAUAGCCAGCUACUGGGUGAAGAGGAUGUGGAAGAAGAGGAGUAGGAGGGGAGUGAUCUCCCAUCAUCCUCAGCUGAGUAACAAUGUUUGUGUUUGUGUGCACACGCGCGUGCGCAACUGCGCAUGUGCACAUUUUUUAUUGUUACAAGGGCAUUACUUGUUAUAAUAAUGACAGGAAUAGU